rnacentral:rRNA from 1 species
AGUGAACGCUGGCGGUAGGCCUAACACAUGCAAGUCGAACGGCAGCACAGUAAGAGCUUGCUCUUACGGGUGGCGAGUGGAGGACGGGUGAGGAAUACAUCGGAAUCUACUUUUUCGUGGGGGAUAACGUAGGGAAACUUACGCUAAUACCGCAUACGACCUACGGGUGAAAGCAGGGGAUCUUCGGACCUUGCGCGAUUGAAUGAGCCGAUGUCGGAUUAGCUAGUUGGCGGGGUAAAGGCCCACCAAGGCGACGAUCCGUAGCUGGUCUGAGAGCGUGAUCAGCCACACUGGAACUGAGACACAGUCCAGACUCCUACGGGAGGCAGCAGUGGGGAAUAUUGGACAAUGGGCGCGAGCCUGAUCCAGCCAUACCGCGUGGGUGAAGAAGGCCUUCGGGUUGUAAAGCCCUUUUGUUGGGAAAGAAGAGCAGCAGGUUAAGACCCCGCUGUUCUGACGGUACCCAAAGAAUAAGCACCGGCUAACUUCGUG